rfam:Poecilia formosa, whole genome shotgun sequence.
GUUCCUGUAGUGUAGUGGUUAUCAUGUUUACUUUACACGCAAAAGGUCUCUGGUUCGAAACCAGCCAGAAACA